GAUGAACGCUAGCUACAGGCUUAACACAUGCAAGUCGAGGGGCAGCAGGACGAUAGCUUGCUAUUGUUGCUGGCGACCGGCGCACGGGUGAGUAACGCGUAUCCAACCUUCCCCUUAGUAGGGCAUAGCCCGGUGAAAAUCGGAUUAAUGCCCUAUGGUCUCCUUCGAGGACAUCUGAAGAGGAGUAAAGAUUCAUCGCCGAGGGAUGGGGAUGCGGCUGAUUAGGAAGCCGGCGGGGUAACGGCCCACCGGUCCUUCGAUCAGUAGGGGUUCUGAGAGGAAGGUCCCCCACACUGGUACUGAGACACGGACCAGACUCC
rnacentral:rRNA from 1 species